UUCUUCUACAGGUUCUACUGAAGACCAAAUUAUAAAUGGUUAGAAGGUGCCAGGAGGAGACUUGAACUUUCAUCCCUAACAUAAAAAAGUAAAAUAAGGUACCAAUUCUACAGAUGGUAGAUCAGCACCAUCCUGGUAAAAAAAGUAGAGGUAAUCAACUUGUGCAUUUUCAUUGAAAUGAGAUCCAAGGAGCUUGGUGCCAGCAAGGCCAUCACAACUCA